UACAGGGGAUGCAAGCGUUAUUCGGAAUGAUUGGGCGUAAAGCGUCUGUAGGUGGCUUUUUAAGUCUGCCGUUAAAUCCCAGGGCUUAACCCUGGACAGGCGGUGGAGACUACUAAGCUAGAGUACGGUAGGGGCAGAGGGAAUUUCCGGUGGAGCGGUGAAAUGCGUAGAGAUCGGAAAGAACACCAACGGCGAAGGCACUCUGCUGGGCCGUGACUGACACUGAGAGACGAGAGCUAGGGGAGCGAAUGG
rnacentral:rRNA from 1 species